CCUCAGCAUAUAGAGGUUUCCAGGCUAGGGGUCUAAUCCGAGCUACAGCUGCCGGCCUAUGCCACAGCCACAGCCACGCCAGAUCUGAGCUGCAUCUGCAAACUACACCACAGCUCACAGCAAUACCGGAUCCUUAACCCACUGAGCGAGGCCGGGGAUCGAACCCACAACCUCAUGAUUCCCAGUCAGACUCGUUUCUGCUGGGCCAUGACAGGAACUCCUCCACCUCAUUUUUGAACUUCUUCUAUGUCUAGUUUUGUUCAAGAUCACAGAUUUCAGAUUCUGGCACUUAGGGUAGCAAGGCCUUUUCUUCAGUCACCAUAGUCAUCUAAUUAAAGUAGUAAUCUUUAACCCUUUUUUCUUAUGUACCCCCCAAACAAUUUUGAAACAUUACAUAAUUACUUCUUAAACUGAUAUCUAAAAUUUUAAGCAUAAAUUUUCUUCUUUUUUUUUUUUUUUUUGGCUUUUUUGGGCUGCACCUACAGUACACGGAGGUUCCCAGGAUAGGGGUCUAAUCCGAGCUACAGCUGCUGGCCUAUACCACAGCCACAGCAACGCCAGAUCCAAGCUGUGCCUGUGACCUACACCACAGCUCACGGCAACACCAGAUCCUUUAACCCACAGAGUGAGGCCAGGGAUGCAACCUGCAACCUCAUGGUUCCUAGUUGGAUUUGUUUCCACUGCACCACUAUGGGAACUCCCUUAAGCAUAAAUUUAAAUAGUUGAAAAGAAUAUAAUUUUCAGGGUAUUGACAUUUAAAAAUUUUUCCAUUACUCUACUCAAUGAAAUUUGAAUAACAAUUUUAUAACAUUAUCCUUUAAAGAUAUACAUGGACAAGCUUUUUUCUAAUAGGAGGAAAUUUUGUUAUCAUUCCUUUUUCUCCCCAAACUCAUAUUUCCACUCCAUUUUCCCCAGAUAAUUUUAUCCAAAUAUAUUUUAUGCUUGAAAGUCUUUUGCUGAUCAUCCUAUCAUACUUUUGUUUGUUGUGUUGUAAUUUGUAUUUCCUGUGAUCAUAGGUUCAAAAUAUUAGCAAAAACAUCCUUCUGGAUUUACUUAUCAUUAUUAUUAUACUCCAUUAUUAAAUAUAAACAUAGAACACUAUUAGAACUACCCACAUCUGCGGCAUAUGGAAGUUAGGGGCUAGGGACUGAACCUGUACCACAACAGUGACCCAAGCCACUACACUGACAAUGCUGGAUCCUUAACCAGCGGUGCCACAAGAGAACUCCUACAACUACAUCUUUUUAACCAACAAAAAAUUUAAAAAAUAGUUUGUAUAUUCGUGCAUUAAUUUCACCUGCUAGAAUGAGAAAGUGUUCAGUGUCAAAUUUCUUUUUAGGUCUUAUUUUUAGAGAUGUUAGUACUAAGAAGACUUGUUCACAGAAGAAUGAACACUGUCUCAUAGCAAUGUUAUGCAACUUUUUAAGAAUCUUUCCAAGUUAUUAUGUCAAAUAUUACACAGUGAUCUGAAAGCAAAAUUAUUUAAAAUUAUCACUAAAACUCAAUUCAAUCCUCCUUCAAUUUUUUUGAGAGCAAAGCAUUGGAAACCACCUGACCAAUAUAGACACUGGAGAAAUUCACUAUCUCAAUUUCUGGGAAACAUAUCAAAAAGUCUUUACCAGAAUUUUUUUUUUUUUUUUGUAUUUUCAGGGCUGCAUCUGCAGCACAUGGACGUUCUCAGGCUAGGGGUGGAAUCGGAGCUGCAGCUGCCAGUCUAUUCCACAGCCACGGCAACACCAGAUCUGACCCUUAUCUGCGACCUACACCACAACUCACAGCAACACUGGAUCCUUAACCCACUGAGCGAGUCCUGGGAUUGAACCUGUGUCCUCAUGAAUACUAGUUGGGUUUGUUACUGCUGAGCCAUGAUGGCAACUCCAAGAAUUUACUAAAUGGGUAAUAAUUAUAGCAUUCUUAAUAUUAAAUUAUUAAAUAAAUAUUUAUUACUUAUUAAUUAAUUAAUACAGACCAUCUACCAAAAUUCUUUUGUGUUCACCAAAUUCAACUUCCCUUGCAGCUUCUUAGGGCCACAUGAUUAGGCACUGACCAGUGAAUAGUGAGCAGGAAUAAUGUGCUUCUGAGUAAGCUGGUGAG
rnacentral:lncRNA from 1 species